rnacentral:rRNA from 1 species
GACGAACGCUGGCGGCGUGCUUAACACAUGCAAGUCGAACGGAAAGGCCCUGCUUUUGUGGGGUGCUCGAGUGGCGAACGGGUGAGUAACACGUGAGUAACCUGCCCUUGACUUUGGGAUAACUUCAGGAAACUGGGGCUAAUACCGGAUAGGAGCUCCUGCUGCAUGGUGGGGGUUGGAAAGUUUCGGCGGUUGGGGAUGGACUCGCGGCUUAUCAGCUUGUUGGUGGGGUAGUGGCUUACCAAGGCUUUGACGGGUAGCGGGGCUGGGAGGGUGACCGGCCACAUUGGGACUGAGAUACGGCCCAGACUCCUACGGGAGGCAGCAGUGGGGAAUAUUGCACAAUGGGCGGAAGCCUGAUGCAGCAACGCCGCGUGCGGGAUGACGGCCUUCGGGUUGUAAACCGCUUUCGCCUGUGACGAAGCGUGAGUGACGGUAAUGGGUAAAGAAGCACCGGCUAACUACGUG